AGCGAACGCUGGCGGCAGGCCUAACACAUGCAAGUCGAACGGAUCCUUCGGGAUUAGUGGCGGACGGGUGAGUAACACGUGGGAACGUGCCCUUUGGUUCGGAACAACUCAGGGAAACUUGAGCUAAUACCGGAUGUGCCCUUCGGGGGAAAGAUUUAUCGCCAUUGGAGCGGCCCGCGUCUGAUUAGCUAGUUGGUGAGGUAAAGGCUCACCAAGGCGACGAUCAGUAGCUGGUCUGAGAGGAUGAUCAGCCACAUUGGGACUGAGACACGGCCCAAACUCCUACGGGAGGCAGCAGUGGGGAAUCUUGCGCAGUGGGCGAAAGCCUGACGCAGCCAUGCCGCGUGAAUGAUGAGGGUCUUAGGAUUGUAAAAUUCUUUCACCGGGGACGAUAAUGACGGUACCCGGAGAAGAAGCCCCGGCUAACUUCGUGCCAGCCGCCGCAGUAACAC
rnacentral:rRNA from 1 species